GAAGAUGACAGACAAAGGAAAAGAAGCAGAAAAGAUCUCUCUGAGAUCACAAAGUUCACAAACAAAUCUGACAAAAUUACAAUUAUUCACGCCAGGACAUAGUUCUGUCCAAAAUAUCUCUGUACCCAGACCAUUGUAUACAAAUACGACUAGUAUAAUAAAUCGACCUAUUGGACAUAUAUCAAGUGCUUUAAUCACACAACCACAGUAUGCAAGACCCAGAUCGCCCAGACCUCAUUUUACUUCAUUUAACAAAUUCAGCCCACUCCAAACCAUACCAAUAACACCAUCCACAUUUAAACAGGUCGUCACUAACACAUCAUCCCCAAGACACACA
rnacentral:lncRNA from 1 species